rnacentral:tRNA from 1 species
GGCGAGAUACCUCAGCUGGUCAGAGGACCCGGCUCAUACCCGGGGCGUCGUCAGUUCGAUCCUGACUCUCGCUA